CCCACUAGACACAGGUAGGUACCAACACACACCAUGUCCCCACUAGACACAGGUAGGUACCAACACACACCAUGUCCCCACUAGACACAGGUACCAACACACACCAUGUCCCCUCUAGACACAGGUACCAACACACACCAUGUCCCCACUAGACACAGGUAGGUACCAACACACACCAUGUCCCCACUAGACACAGGUACCAACACACACCAUGUCCCCACUAGACACAGGUAGGUACCAACACACACCAUGUCCCCUCUAGACACAGGUACCAACACACACCAUGUCCCCACUAGACACAGGUAGGUACCAACACACACCAUGUCUCCUCUAGACACAGAUAGGUACCAACACACACCAUGUCCCCUCUAGACACAGGUAGGUACCAACACACACCAUGUCCCCACUAGACACAGGUACCAACACACACCAUGUCCCCUCUAGACACAGGUACCAACACACACCAUGUCCCCACUAGACACAGGUAGGUACCAACACACACCAUGUCCCCACUAGACACAGGUACCAACACACACCAUGUCCCCACUAGACACAGGUACCAACACACACCAUGUCCCCACUAGACACAGGUACCAACACACACCAUGUCUCCUCUAGACACAGGUAGGUACCAACACACACCAUGUCCCCACUAGACACAGGUACCAACACACACCAUGUCCCCACUAGACACAGGUACCAACACACACCAUGUCCCCACUAGACACAGGUACCAACACACACCAUGUCCCCACUAGACACAGGUACCAACACACACCAUGUCCCCACUAGACACAGGUAGGUACCGACACACACCAUGUCCCCACUAGACACAGGUAGGUACCGACACACACCAUGUCCCCACUAGACACAGGUAGGUACCGACACACACCAUGUCCCCACUAGACACAGGUAGGUACCGACACACACCAUGUCCCCACUAGACACAGGUAGGUACCGACACACACCAUGUCCCCACUAGACACAGGUACCAACACACACCAUGUCCCCACUAGACACAGGUAGGUACCAACACACACCAUGUCCCCUCUAGACACAGGUACCAACACACACCAUGUCCCCACUAGACACAGGUAGGUACCAACACACACCAUGUCUCCUCUAGACACAGGUACCAACACACACCAUGUCCCCACUAGACACAGGUAGGUACCAACACACACCAUGUCCCCACUAGACACAGGUACCAACACACACCAUGUCCCCUCUAGACACAGGUACCAACACACACCAUGUCCCCACUAGACACAGGUAGGUACCAACACACACCAUGUCCCCACUAGACACAGGUACCAACACACACCAUGUCCCCACUAGACACAGGUACCAACACACACCAUGUCCCCACUAGACACAGGUACCAACACACACCAUGUCUCCUCUAGACACAGGUAGGUACCAACACACACCAUGUCCCCACUAGACACAGGUACCAACACACACCAUGUCCCCACUAGACACAGGUACCAACACACACCAUGUCCCCACUAGACACAGGUACCAACACACACCAUGUCCCCACUAGACACAGGUAGGUACCAACACACACCAUGUCCCCACUAGACACAGGUAGGUACCGACACACACCAUGUCCCCACUAGACACAGGUAGGUACCGACACACACCAUGUCCCCACUAGACACAGGUAGGUACCGACACACACCAUGUCCCCACUAGACACAGGUACCGACACACACCAUGUCCCCACUAGACACAGGUACCAACACACACCAUGUCCCCACUAGACACAGGUACCAACACACACCAUGUCCCCACUAGACACAGGUAGGUACCAACACACACCAUGUCUCCUCUAGACACAGGUAGGUACCAACACACACCAUGUCUCCUCUAGACACAGGUAGGUACCAACACACACCAUGUCCCCACUAGACACAGGUACCGACACACACCAUGUCCCCACUAGACACAGGUACCGACACACACCAUGUCCCCACUAGACACAGGUACCAACACACACCAUGUUCCCACUAGACACAGGUAGGUACCAACACACACCAUGUCCCCACUAGACACAGGUACCAACACACACCAUGUCCCCACUAGACACAGGUACCAACACACACCAUGUCCCCACUAGACACAGGUAGGUACCAACACACACCAUGUCCCCACUAGACACAGGUAGGUACCAACACACACCA